rnacentral:rRNA from 1 species
AAUUUAGAGAGUUUGAUCCUGGCUCAGGAUGAACGCUGGCGGCGUGCAUAACACAUUCAAGUCGAACGAACGAGCGCCCUUCGGGACGC